GGCGCCUAUACUCGGUCAAUGGAGUCAACUGCUAGGACUGGCAUUGGAUUCGGCCGCCAGUUAUUUUGCUAUUGGUGGCACAUGGUCAACCUGUCCUCAGUUCGGAUUGUAGGCUACAAUUCGCCUGCAUGAAGCCGGAAUCGCUAGCAAUCACCGGUCAGCCAUACAGCGGUGAAUUCGUUCCUGAGCC
rfam:Lupinus angustifolius cultivar Tanjil chromosome LG20, whole genome shotgun sequence.